rnacentral:ncRNA from 1 species
AGAUGCCUCAGCGUCAUUUAAUUAGUGACAUGCAUGAAUGGAUUAACGAGAUUCCCACUGUCCCAGGAUACUAUCUAGAGAAACCAAAGCCAAGGGAAUGAGCUUGGCAGAAUUAGAGGGGAAAGAAGACCUUGUUGAGAUUGACUCUAGUCCGACUUUGUGAAAUGACUUGAGAGGUGUAGAAUAAGUGGGAGUUGUUUUCAGUGCAAGUGAAAUACCACCACUUUUAACAUUAUUUUACUUAUUUUGUGGGGUAGAGACGAGGCAUUGCACAUAUGUUAAAAUAUAAUUCACAUUUCCUCAAAGUGUUGUCAUUGAUGGCAAUGGUCAAAAGAUCAUUUUUCACACACUUGAUGGAAAUAAGUUUAGGAAACCAAAGAGGAUCAUUUCUUUUAAGGAUGAAGAAAGUUCCUACAAUCCCUAUGUUUUUAGCCAACAUCCCCCUAUAAGU